AGAGUUUGAUCCUGGCUCAGAACAAACGCUGGCGGCGUGCCUAACACAUGCAAGUCGUACGAGAAAGUCCGCUUCGGUGGAUAAGUAAAGUGGCGCACGGGUGAGUAACGCGUGGAUAAUCUACCCUUAAGUCGGGAAUAACUCAUCGAAAGGUGAAUUAAUACCGGAUAACACUGCAUAACUACUGUUGUGUAGUCAAAGAAGGCCUCUGCUUGCAAGCUUUCGCUGAAGGAUGAGUCCGCGUACCAUUAGCUAGUUGGUAGGGUAAUGGCCUACCAAGGUUAUGAUGGUUAGCUGGUCUGAGAGGAUGAUCAGCCACACUGGAACUGAGACACGGUCCAGACUCCUACGGGAGGCAGCAGUGAGGAAUAUUGCGCAAUGGGGGCAACCCUGACGCAGCAACGCCGCGUGAGUGAGGAAGGUUUUCGGAUUGUAAAGCUCUGUCGAGUGGAAAGAAAUGCGUGGUGGCUAAUAUCCAUCAUGCUUGACGGUACCGCUAAAGGAAGCACCGGCUAACUCCGUGCCAGCAGCCGCGGUAAUACGGGGGGUGCAAGCGUUGUUCGGAAUUAUUGGGCGUAAAGAGCGUGUAGGCGGCUGGACAAGUCAGAUGUGAAAGCCCUGGGCUUAACCUAGGAAGUGCAUUUGAAACUGUCCGGCUUGAGUAAGGGAGAGGAAAGUGGAAUUCCUGGUGUAGAGGUGAAAUUCGUAGAUAUCAGGAGGAACACCGGUGGCGAAGGCGACUUUCUGGCCCUAUACUGACGCUGAGACGCGAAAGCGUGGGUAGCAAACAGGAUUAGAUACCCUGGUAGUCCACGCUGUAAACGAUGUUCACUAGGUGUUGGGGGUAUUGACCCUUUCAGUGCCGCAGCUAACGCAUUAAGUGAACCGCCUGGGGAGUACGGUCGCAAGAUUAAAACUCAAAGGAAUUGACGGGGGCCCGCACAA
rnacentral:rRNA from 1 species